rnacentral:rRNA from 1 species
UACAGAGGGUACGAGCGUUGUCCGGAAUCACUGGGCGUAAAGGGCGCGUAGGUGGCGCUGCAAGUCGGUGGUGAAAGCUCGCCGCUUAACGGCGAGUCGGCCAUCGAAACUGCAGGGCUCGAGCACUGUAGGGGCUAAUGGAAUUCCGGGUGUAGCGGUGGAAUGCGUAGAGAUCCGGAAGAACACCAGUGGCGAAGGCGGUUAGCUGGGCAGUUGCUGACACUGAUGCGCGACAGCGUGGGGAGCAAACAGG